rnacentral:rRNA from 1 species
AAUGAACGUUGGCGGCGUGCCUAACACAUGCAAGUCGAGCGUGAAAGUCCUUCGGAUGAGUAAAGCGGCAGACGGGUGAGUAACGCGUGAGAAUUUUCCUUUCAGUGAAGAAUACCUUUGGGAAACUAAAGUUAAUACUGCAUACGUCUCGAAAGAGAGAAAGAUGGCCUAAUUGCUGUCGCUGGAAGAUAAGCUUGCGUUCUAUUAGCUAGUUGGUGAGGUAAAGGCUCACCAAGGCGAUGAUGGAUAGCCGGCCUGAGAGGGCGGAACGGCCACAUUGGAACUUAGACACGGUCCAAACUCCGUACGGGAGGCAGCAGUGAGGAAUAUUGCACAAUGGGCGAAAGCCUGAUGCAGCGACCGCCGCGUGGGA